CAAUGUUUGGAGGGAAGUCUCUGCCACCAAAGGAUUAUGCUACUCUCCUAUCUCUUCCACAGAUGCUGCUGCAUAGGUUAUCCUAGAUAAUUUCUUCAUGAAAAACAGACAAACUGAUUGUCGAGAACAAUCACUAAUUUUUCUCCUCUUAUUGAACAAGCAUUUGCAGCAAUUACAAGGAUACCAAGAAAUAGUCACACACCCCUGGUACCACCCGAAAGACACAUGAACUCUCAACAUCAGUGGAACAGGACUGCAAACACUAGGUGUCCACAGAUGAAAGAGUGAGGCCUCCAAAGUACACAAUGCAUCUAGCCUGCUUGACAAGUCCGUUGUGUCU